rnacentral:rRNA from 1 species
GACGAACGCUGGCGGCGUGCUUAACACAUGCAAGUCGAACGAUGAAGCUGGAGCUUGCUCUGGCGGAUUAGUGGCGAACGGGUGAGUAACACGUGAGCAAUCUGCCCUUGACUCUGGGAUAACUGCGGGAAACUGUAGCUAAUACCGGAUACGACCCUCGGAGGCAUCUCCUGGGGGUGGAAAGAAUUUCGGUCAAGGAUGGACUCGCGGCCUAUCAGCUAGUUGGUGAGGUAAAGGCUCACCAAGGCGACGACGGGUAGGCGGCCUGAGAGGGUGACCGGCCACACUGGGACUGAGACACGGCCCAGACUCCUACGGGAGGCAGCAGUGGGGAAUAUUGCACAAUGGGCGCAAGCCUGAUGCAGCAACGCCGCGUGAGGGAUGACGGCCUUCGGGUUGUAAACCUCUUUUAGCAGGGAAGAAGCGAAAGUGACGGUGCCUGCAGAAAAAGCACCGGCUAACUACGUGCCAGCCGCCGCCGUAA